CUCUCUCUCUCCCACGUCUGCCCAAACACCUUCUCUUCAACUCCCACGUUCUCUCCUCGACUCCGUCUAUGGUGGAUCUCUCUCUCACGUUCGAAAUUCUUUCUCUUCUGAAACUCGCGACCAGAGGUAGCAGAUUAGAGAAACUGGAGAUAACCUUCCAACAGUGACGAUGGUCUCAACAGGGAAGAAAUACCCUCGCCAUUGAUCAACAUCAAGCUCCGCGACUGUCCACAUUCCCUCGGCUCCCACCCUCCCAACAUCAGUAUCGACACCACCCUCCCAACAUCAUAGAGACGGUGGUCUCGCCAUUGAUCAACAUCAAGCUCCGUGACUGUCCACCCUCCCUCAGCUCCCACCUUCCCUCGGCUCCCACCCUCCCAAUAUGAGAGAUUUCUCCACCAUGACCACAGCAGCAGAUUUGCCUCUUCCUUUUCGCAGACACCCGCACUCCUCACAACCAUCUCUGCUCCUCCCUCCUUAGCGACCCUUUGUCGAAAUCUUGAUCGCAACAACUGUAGCAACUGUAGCAACCGCACUCCCCAUCUCAACCAUCGCACAGCUACCAUCUUAGCCUCAUGCAACAUUGCGAAGGGUAAACACAUUUAUGUAUAUACAUGCUUCACUUUGAUCAAGAUUUUUAACUGCAUUCGCAUGAUUUUACUUAAUCUAACUAUUGUUCUCAUAUAGCAGAAAGCCCUAAUUUUUCACACCCCUGAAGUUUAUGAACAGUUGAGCUCCAUAUACUUUGUAAAUUGUUUCUAUGCAGAAAAACUAAAAACUGCUUUGAGAAGUACAUGACAUGGAGGCUGAACUCCAAAUUGAGAUUGCCAGAGAUAAUUUCCCUCCAUAACAGUAUUAUGUAGGCAAGAAAACAUUGUAAAAUUUCAUUAUCUUAUGCAAGUGAUAUACGCAGAAGUUAUAAGUUGAUGUGAGUCAUGAUCGAUAAAGCAUCAUACUCCUAUUUUUUUAUUUUUUUAUUAUGGAAUCUGAACAGUGUUGUGGAAUUAAAAGGUCUAGCAAGAGUUUGAAAAAAUAAAUUAUAAGAAAUCAACAGGGCACUAACCGAUCCACAGGGAAGACUAAAGUUUUUGCUAAUUUAAGGGAGAUUUCUUUUUCUUCUUUUUCUUUUUUUCCUUCAGUUUGUGUAUUGGAUUUCAAAUAUUUACUUUUAGAUUUGUGGAUUAUGCUGAUUAGGUUAUACAACUAUUUCUCUUUUGGUCUACAAAAUAUGCUAAUGUGUUUUUAUCUUUAUUAGUUAAACAUGCUGAAAGUCCAAUUUUGUCAUGGUUUGAUUCUAGGCAUGUAAUUCUUUAUCUUUGUUUGGAUGUUAUGUUAUUUUCUUGAGUAGUGUAAUUCAUGGUCUUCUUUGUUUUAUUUUUUUUAUUUUUUUGUUAAAAGUAAAUAAAAUAAAUAAAAUUAACUAACUGAACGGGAUUGAACUUAGGUGUUAAUAUUAUAUCGUACGGAGUCGAGACACUCUUUACAUUGAUUGAAAUUUGUAAU